UUUUGAAGAUUAAGAAAAAUCUGUCAUUUAAAAGAAUCCAACUGAAGUUGUGAAAAAAGUGAUUUUGAUUGUGCUGUUUGUGUUUAGGAAACUACAGUCGUCGGGAAGGAACAAGAGGCUCUAGUUGGAGUGCUCAGAAUACUCCUCGAGGAAAUUACAAUGAAAGUCGUGGAGGCCAGAGCAAUUUUAACAGAGGCCCUCUUCCACCAUUACGACCCCUUAGUUCUACAGGUUACCGCCCAAGUCCUCGGGACCGUGCUUCUAGAGGUCGUGGGGGACUCGGACCUUCCUGGGCUAGUGCAAAUAGCGGCAGUGGAGGCUCAAGAGGAAAGUUUGUUAGUGGAGGCAGUGGUAGAGGUCGUCAUGUACGCUCCUUUACACGAUAAAAAUCCUUUUGGGAACAUCUUAACUGUAUAUGAACAUUUCAUGAGGACAAUAAAAAUAAGACAUUGAAGGACCAAUUUAGACUUAGCAGUUAUCUGGAGACAUCUGAGAGAAUAUUUUUAUCUGAAGAAAGCAGAUUUUGUUUGAUACUUAACGAUUUCAAUAAAAAUCAAAACUUUGUAUGU
rnacentral:sRNA from 1 species